UACCACUCUCUUUUGUAAGAGGAAUAAAAUAAAUAAAUUUUUAAAAAAGAAGAAGGAAAAAAAAAAGCUUGUGGUAUCCCUAAAAUCAAGCUAGCACCUGGUGAAGUGUUUCAGAGUGUCAGCUACAACCCUCUGCCCUGCUCUCUCCAGCAGCUCCCUGCUUGGGGAUGCUCCCAUACGUUGCAGAAAUCUUCCUGUGGAGACAACAAGGCAGUGGAGCAGCACACACAUGCUCAGAGGGAAUCACAGUGCGGACUGUCCAGUGAUGAUGGACAUGCCCAGAACUGGCACACACAUUUAAACAGAUGAUAUUUUGGCCAUCACUGGCUGAAGCUGGAUUCUGCUCUCAGUUACGGCAGCUGAAUAUGGAAUGUUCAUUUAGAUGCCAAUGGCAUAACUUUGGUUUUGUUCCUGAGCAUUGAGCCAAUCCAUGGCCCUCAGUUCUCCCUCCUUUACAUUCAAACUAACCUUCUACUGAGCACAUACUUUCAUCUGUAUCUCUCUUUUCAUCUCUUCAGCAGAAGUAACAACUUAGAUGCAGUAAUCAAGAAGCAGAUAGAUCCAGAGAAGGGAACAUCGCCAUAGCUCAUAUAAAUUGGAGAAACUGUAAUAGAACCUUAAAGCUAGGAACACUGUUUUUUAUCUGAACUGAAAGGCACUGGCUGUGGUGGUACACAGAGACAUCAAAACAAGAAUAGGAGGUGGAAAUGAGUGGAAAGGUAAGAGAAUUUUUAAUAAAGCCAAGAAGAUAGACAGUCGUGGAAGGGGAAUGGCCAUUCACUUGAAUGAACUUGUACUAAGCUGUCUGGAAAUGAGAGAAACAGGGAUGAAAUUGAAGUAAAGAAGGAAUUAAGACUGAUGAAACACACCAUCUGUUUUUUGUAUUUUGGUUUACUUGAAACACAUUUUCACAGAAUUUUUGUUUUUAU
ensembl:lncRNA